UGUUUUGUAGUGUGAGGAUAAUAAGGUGAAGUGAGGCUGCUGCUCACCGGUGGCUCGCCGGCCAUCCGAGAGCCGGAAUUGCGGCCCCACGCGAGGGAAAGAUCAGCGUUGCUGCAGCCACCGCAGGACACCCACCAUGCGCGUACCAUACAGGCAGCAGCAGCCUCACUUCACCUUGGAUGACAUGACGAUUAUGAAAUAUUCAGUCAUCCCCCUUGGGUCUACCUGUUAGAAACUUGGACCUACUCAUGUGUUUGAGAUGAUUGUGCAGAAAAGAUGAAAAACGGGAUAAAAUUCUAUGUGAGAGAUGACCGCUAAAGGACUGUACAUGGAGAUUAUCUAUAAGGGUUAUGUCCCGUGCAAGGAGAUUAUCUUAUAGGACAGGCAUAUCAGCCCCCAUUCAGACAUAGCAGAUAUUCAACAGAAGAAGUUCCUCCACUGCUACUGGCCAAACUCUAAGCAAAAAGACCUUCCACUUUCCUUGCUAAUGGUGAGCAACUCAAAGAUGGCUACAA
rnacentral:rRNA from 1 species